UACGUAGGGUGCGAGCGUUGUCCGGAAUUAUUGGGCGUAAAGGGCUCGUAGGCGGUUUGUCGCGUCGGGAGUGAAAAUCCAGGGCUUAACUCUGGACUGGCUUCCGAUACGGGCAGACUAGAGGUAUGCAGGGGAGAACGGAAUUCCUGGUGUAGCGGUGAAAUGCGCAGAUAUCAGGAGGAACACCGGUGGCGAAGGCGGCAUCCUGGACCGAUACUGACGCUGAGGAGCGAAAGCCAGGGGAGCAAACGGG
rnacentral:rRNA from 1 species